rnacentral:rRNA from 1 species
UUUCUCAUGCAGAACAAACGAAAGACUACAUGAAACACAGUCAUGAAGGCGGAUUUAGCAGUAAAAAGAAAAUAGUGUGUUCUUUUUAACUAGGCACUGGGACGCGUACACACCGCCCGUCACCCU